rnacentral:rRNA from 1 species
GAUGAACGCUAGCGGCAGGCCUAACACAUGCAAGUCGAGGGGUAACUAGAGUGAUAGCAAUAUUACUUUGGCUAGACCGGCGCACGGGUGCGUAACACGUAUGCAACCUACCUUAUACUGGGGAAUAACUUCGAGAAAUCGGCGCUAAUACCCCAUAACAUUGCGAAGAGGCAUCUCUUUGCAAUUAAAGCUCCGGCGGUAUAAGAUGGGCAUGCGUCCAAUUAGGUAGUUGGGGAGGUAACGGCUCACCAAGGCUACGAUUGGUAGGGGUUCUGAGAGGAUGAUCCCCCACACUGGUACUGAGACACGGACCAGACUCCUACGGGAGGCAGCAGUGAGGAAUAUUGCGCAAUGGACGAAAGUCUGACGCAGCCAUGCCGCGUGCAGGAUGACGGCCCUAUGGGUUGUAAACUGCUUUUGUACGGGAAUAAACCCUUCUACGUGUAGGAGGCUGAAGGUACCGUAAGAAUAAGCACCGGCUAACUCCGUGCCAGCCGCCGCCGUAACAC